rnacentral:misc_RNA from 1 species
UCCCAGUGUUCUCAGGGAGGAGAGA